AGGAUAUUAGUUAAAUUAUAACACUUAUAUUGCAUAUAAUAAUUAUUUCAAAUAAAUAUAUCUUU
rnacentral:tRNA from 1 species